rnacentral:rRNA from 1 species
ACGGGGUGCAGCAGGCGCGAAAACUUUACAAUGCGGGAAACCGCGAUAAGGGGACACCGAGUGCCAGCAUUUAUGUUGGCUGUCCACAUGUGUAAACGGCAUGUGUUAGCAAGGGCCGGGCAAGACCGGUGCCAGCCGCCGCGGUAACACCGGCGGCCCGAGUGGUAAUCACUUUUAUUGGGUCUAAAGGGUCCGUAGCCGGUUUGAUCAGUUCUUCGGGAAAUCUGACAGCUCAACUGUUAGGCUUCCGGGGAAUACUGUCAGACUUGGGACCGGGAGAGGUAAGAGGUACUACAGGGGUAGGAGUGAAAUCUUGUAAUCCCUGUGGGACCACCAGUGGCGAAGGCGUCUUACCAGAACGGGUCCGACGGUGAGGGACGAAAGCUGGGGGCACGAACUGGAUUAGAUACCCGGGUAGUCCCAGCCGUAAACGAUGUUCGCUAGGUGUCAGGGGCGGUGCGACCGCUUCUGGUGCCGUAGGGAAGCCGUGAAGCGAACCACCUGGGAAGUACGGCCGCAAGGCUGAAACUUAAAGGAAUUGGCGGGG